CACGUGUCAAAGAUAAAAUGCCUCUUUGCAAAGCCUCUCCCUCCCACUCUCCCCAGGCUAUUGCUGUUUAUGAACCGAGCUUUUGUUUAAUUGGUUACAGCAAACAGGGAAAUAAAUAACACCAAUACUCAGUCUGUCUCUAGUGACUCCCAGAUGGCCAUGGUGAGCAAGCUUUACUCUACAAGCAGCCCUCAGGAAAAGUUUGUAAGCCUGCUAUGAGGGAAAAAGCACACAGACUUCCAGCUCCACUACAGAGGACUGCAUUUCUGCUGUACUUUAGUAAGGGGAAUGAGGAAUGGAACACUCAAAGACAGCGCCAGGCAUCCGAGGCAGCCCAGCAUCUACACUUCGCUUUAGGAUGAGUCUGCCCAUCUCAGGCAGCUCCUGCAGAGAUGUCCAAAGAAAUAAAAUAAGAUUGUGUCUUAGCACUUUCUCUCACACUCCCGACCAGCUCCAUCCCAACCCAAUCACUGAUCUGCAAAGCAAAAUGCUCAGCGCAGAAAGAACAGUAAACAGGCACAAAAGCUGUCCUUUUCAAGAGAGGGUAAAAUUACAAAGAACGGAACGAGGGUUCUUCGGGAAUAACACCAUUGUUGUUCCUAAUUGUGUGCGUGUGUUGUGUGCGCAUGUGGCAUAGCAAAAUAAAAACGAUGUUUAUAGAGAGCUGCCUGCUUCUUUGCUGAUGGACUGGAGGCGCUGAUCCGACAAUUAAAGCAUCGUCUCAGUAAUAGCCAUAAAUAAACAGGCAGCAUUAGAACAGACUUGCAAUAAAGAUGAUAUUAAAAGCAGAACAAAAUGAGAAGCAGCGCUGAAUGGGAAGGGGUGAAGUGUAAGUCACGUUGAUUUGUUCUUUCUUGCAGAUAAGGAAACAAUGAGAUGUCCUUACUGUGGACCCCCAGCACUCAGCAAAGCUGUUAUAAAAAAAAAGUGAAGGACAAGUCUCUAACAAGGGGUGAUGAGCUUGUAAAUAGCUUUUAAUCAGAAAGAGGGGGAAAGAAAGGGAGUAAAGAGCUGGUUAGAAGUCUUCUAUGCAAACUUGUGUAGGAAAAUAUUGAUCUGUCAAAAUCUUGGGUUCUUGCAGGCCAGGGUCAGCUCCAACCCAUCUUCCGUAAUUCAUAGAAGUUCUGAAUUGCCAGAAACGUGACACUGUCAGAAUGUCAAGUUCCCAGUUUCAAGCUGGGAUAGCUUUUCAUAUAGAAAUUGUAUAUAGCUACAAUAAGAGGAAAAAAGAUUUAAGAAAGAAAAACCAACAUAGAAACAAUACCUCGAUUACCAGCACAAAAUGCCAGCUGACCUAACACAGCUAACCAUCCACUCCCCACAAGUUACUGACCUAGGAACACUUCUGAAGUUCAAAGCCUUCUUUGUCCUUUGGAGAGAAGUUCUGACACUCCAAAAGCUCCCAAGUAGGAGAGCAGAGCAGCAUCCUCUGCUGUGAUGGAUGUGCUGCAGCAUGGACUUAUCCAUACCAAUUCCAUUAGCAGGACAUUGUCUGUCACUCAUGUGCAGCAUCAGGAUUCUCCAGCAAACACCAUCACUGCCAGCAGCUUUAGUCUGGUAGUCCCUAUGGACAGCACAUUGCACUUGCUCCAGGCCCUAUCUAUAGUACCAUCUUUAAACCCAAUGUGCCAGCAUAGAGACUUUAAAUGCCUUUGUAAAUAGCCUUUCCAGCUGAGUGUAAUUACCUUAAUUAAAACCCCACCUCAUCCUUCUGACUGGAAUGGUACAUACAAUUGCUGUGUUUAUCUUAAUGAUCUCAUUAGCAGCAGGAUCAGAAAGUCCUACAGCACCUCUGCUGAUGGGCUGAGACCUGGAUGAGUAUCAGCUCCCAUAUCCUUGUUCCAGUCAAACAGAUGGGGUACGUCAGUUUUCGGGCUGUAGGCUGGUGAGAGCUGAAGUGAGGCAGCCGAAGUGAGGCUGAAGGGAUCUGGGAGACUGACUGCUUCUUCCUCCUCACUGGGUGCUCAGACAUCGGCACUGCUUCUUCUUCCUUGCUGCCAUGAAAAUUGCCUUAUUGAAUUUUUAAAUAAACUGUGCUGGUUGGAAUAUCUAAAGAGCCUUUGCACAGACCCUGACAGGGUCCCUUUUUUUUUUUUUCCUUUUUUUUUUUUUCUUUUAAAUUAAAAAUCUUG
ensembl:lncRNA